CAGGCCUGAGCUGGGGUCCUGGUGGGCCAAGAAAAAACGGAGCCCCAGGGAGGAAAAAGAACAGGAUGAGAAAAAGGGAUCACAGGGAUCCAAGCACUUGGAGAAGAGAUGUCAACCUUCCCUUAGCUGGGCAGAGAGAACAUGCAGGAGUUGGCCAAACAGACACAGGGAAGAGAUCCCAAAAGGAGGGCACAGCCCAAGCAAAGGUUCACCAGUGAAAAACAACCUGAAGUUUAUCGUGCAAAGCCAGGGAGUGCAGAGGUGAGGCCUCAGGGCAGGAACCCGAGGGACCCUCACUCCAGGAGCCGGCUGUAUGCCCAAAGAGGUCUGUUGUCUCAACAACCAUCGGCCUCCAGAAAUGCUUCCCAUGAGAGACAGUGGGGGCCAAGAUGCAGAAGCGGAGCCCCAGGCAGCAGAAGGGUAAACUGAGCCACACCGAUGGAGAAGGCUGGUCCCCAUCACACUGCACAGUGGUCAAAGACAAAGCCAGGACUGGAACCUGAAACCCACAUUGAAACAGGGGGAAGAAAAAGUGGGCUGAUGGGGAGGAAAGAGGAGAGGGAGUAGCAGAGAUAGUAUGCUGAGGCCGGGCCUGGGGUGAAGAGGAGAGAAGGGCCACUCGAGCCUGGGGGAUAAAGUGGGGCUCCUGGGCCUCCCGGUCACGUGCACCUGAGAGCGGAUGUGAGGCGUGCUGUUCGCAAGGUGUUUCUAAUCCUCCGCCUGCCUAGAAAGCGGCGCG
rnacentral:lncRNA from 1 species